rnacentral:rRNA from 1 species
UUAAGAUACUAAGGGCAUACGGUGGAUGCCUUGGCGAUAUCUGCCGAAGAAGGACGCGACAAGCUGCGAAAAGCUACGGGUAGGCGCAAAUAGCCGUUGAACCGUAGAUAUCCGAAUGGAGAAAUCCGGCGGUGGUAAUGCACCGUCACCCAUACCGACCGGUAUGAGGAGGGAACUCGGUGAACUGAAACAUCUAAGUAACCGGAGGAGAAGAAAUCAAACGAGAUACCCCAAGUAGCGGCGAGCGAACGGGGAAGAAGCCUAAACCGAAUAAGGAAACUUAAUCGGGGUUGAGGACCGACAAAAUUAGAGGAAAAGUUAGCCAAAUCUCUUGGGAAAGAGAGCCGAAGACAGUGAGAGCCUGGUAGGCGAAAACAAGAACUCUAAGGACGGAAUCCAGAGUAGUGCGGGACACGAGAAAUCCCGUAUGAAGCAGGGGGGACCACCCUCCAAGGCAAAACACAGAUAUCGACCGAUAGCGCAUAGUACCAUGAGGGAAAGGUGAAAAGCACCCCGGGAGGGGAAUGAAAUAGAACCUGAAACCGUAUGUUUACAAACAGUCAGAGACCGUAUAUAAAACAGGUCGAUGGCGUGCCUAUUGAAGAAUGAACCAGCGAGUUACGAGGGCCGGCAAGGUUAAGCAGGAAAUGUGGAGCCGAAGCGAAAGCGAGUCUUAAUAGGGCGAGAAGUCGGAAAGCGUAGACCCGAAACCACAGUGAUCUACCCAUGUCCAGGUUGAAGCACAGGUAAAAAUGUGUGGAGGACCGAACCUAUAUCUGUUGAAAAAGGUUAGGAUGAGGUGUGGGUAGGGGUGAAAUUCCAAUCGAACGUGGAGAUAGCUGGUUCUCCCCGAAAUAGCUUUAGGGCUAGCCUCAAGUGGUGAUUACAGGCGGUAGAGCACUGAUCAGGAGCGGGACCUACCCGGUUACCAAACCCAGUCAAACUCCGAAUGGCUGUAAUCAAACUUGGGAGUCAGACUACGACUUAUAAGGGCCGUGGUCAAGAGGGAAACAGCCCAGAUCAUCAGCUAAGGUCCCAAAUGCCGUGCUAAGUGGCGAAGGAUGUGGCGUUUCAUAAACAACCAGGAUGUUGGCUUAGAAGCAGCCAUCAUUUAAAGAGUGCGUAAUAGCCCACUGGUCGAGAGACGCUGCGCCGAAGAUGUCCGGGGCUCAAGCACGGAACCGAAGCUAUGGCAGACGCAAGCCGUCUGGGUAGGGGAGCGUUCUUAUUGGGGAGAAGCGAUACCGGAAGGAGUCGUGGACUGAUAAGAAGUGAGAAUGCUGGUAUGAGUAUCGAAAAGAAAGGUGAGAAUCCUUUCCACCGAAAGCCCGAGGGUUCCUGAGCAACGAUCGUCGUCUCAGGGUAAGUCGGGACCUAAGCCGAGGCAAGAAGCAUAGGCGAUGGACAACAGGUUGAAAUUCCUGUACCGGAAGAGUCUGAUUGAGUGAAGGAGUGACGCAGAAGGGCACACAAGCAUGCGAGUGGAAGAGCAUGUCUAAGUGCGUAGCCUGUAUGAUAGGAAAAACCGUCAUACGAGAAGGGUGAGACAUGAAGGGGAGUUAAAGGAGACUUUAAUGAACUUGUGAAUCCCAUGCUGCCAAGAAAAGCUUCUAGCGAGGACUCGUCCGCCCGUACCGUAAACCGACACAGGUAGGCGGGGAGAGAAUCCUAAGGUGCGCGGGAAAACCCUCGUUAAGGAACUCGGCAAAUUGCAUCCGUAACUUCGGAAGAAGGAUGGCCCUUGGUAGGCGAAGAGUCAAGCACUUGGAACCGAGAAGGGUGGCAGAAAAGAGGCCCAAGCAACUGUUUACCAAAAACACAGGUGCCUGCGAAAGCGAAAGCUGAAGUAUAGGUGCUGACGCCUGCCCGGUGCUGGAAGGUUAAGGAGAGAGGUCAGCUAAGGCGAAGCUUUGAACUGAAGCCCCAGUGAACGGCGGCCGUAACUAUAACGGUCCUAAGGUAGCGAAAUUCCUUGUCGGGU